GCAGCCCUGUCCAAGACGGGCCUAAUGUCAUCUUCAGACAUUCAGGUUUCAAGCUUGGGUGAUCAAAGGUCCUGCUGCUCCCAACAGGCUGCUUUCCUCAUGUCUCAGGCCUGCCUGGCCCCUGGGGGCUGCGACUUUGAGGUUCCUGGUGUCACUGUGUGCAUGUCAUUGUCCCUGGACACCCCAAGGCCCCCAGGUGCAGCCAGGGCAAGCCUGAGGGAGAUGAGCACAGCCCCCAAUACUGGUGUGUCGGAGGGGAGAGGUGGUAGCAAGGCCGGGCCUGCCAACGAGGAAAUCCCCAGCUCUUGAUGGCAAAGCCAGGAACAGCUUCACUCAGCAAGGAAGCACCACCUGGACUCUGGGCUACAGGAUGCUAAAGCUGGAUCAGCUUUCCUUCUCAUCUACAGGUCACACCUGCAAAGCCCAUUUCCCAGGUAACAUGACAUAUCUCUCGGUUCCAGGAAUUAGGAUGUAGGCAUCUUUGGGAACCUUUAUCCAGUCAGCAACAGGGGGUGGUUCCCUGAGCAGAUUGGCAGUCAGAGGAUGCAGGGGG
rnacentral:lncRNA from 1 species